ensembl:snRNA U6 U6 spliceosomal RNA
GUGGUCACUUCGGCAGCACAUAUACUAAAAUUGGAACAAUGCAGAGAAGAUUAGCAAGGAUGACACAGAAAUUCGUGAGUGUUCUAUAUUUUUU